AUCCAGCUGACGAGUCCCAAAUCGGACGAAACACGCGUCAAACUGGAU
rnacentral:hammerhead_ribozyme from 1 species